GCCCAGAAAUCUUCUGUGGGAACUGUACCUCCCCACAUGAGGACCGACCUAAGAGACCAGUUGCUGCAACCUUCUUUGUUCCUGAAUGACAUCUCCCUUCACAGGGUACCGCCGACCAGGUCGUUCAUCAAUCCAAUCUGUCCAGUCAAGUUCAGACCCACGUCAGCUGUGGGGAGAAGAGCCUGAGAGCCAACGGCAGUUCUGGUCAAUACAAGUCCACCCUGGCGGUAAGCCCUAACACGAAAUCAUGGCAUUAAGAAAAAAGACCACUAGGGGUCCCCACACCAUCCAGAACAUAAUCCUGUCUGGCUGCAGCAUCCUCUUUAUCUCAGCUAAAGCAAAGGCCAAGUGAAGGCGGGACAAGCACUCCUCUGUGCUCACUCCUGUCCUGUCUAUCAGACUGCAGCAUGAGAACAGAGAGGAUGAAGUUAUAGAGCAGCCUGCGGGGAAUGGUUGAAGAGACACAGCACAGAAGACUCAGGGACAGCCAUCCUGAUGUCUGGAUUAUACUUUCCCGGCAGCGUGUGAGUUCUGAGCAGUCAGACGGAGAAGAAAGGAGGAACUGUGUCUUGGAGUCCAAUUUCACUCAGUAUAACUCUGCUAUAGCACA